UGCCCCAUGGCUGAGUUGGUUACAGCGUCCGACUGUUAGACAGCGGUAUCGGAAGGUCGUGAGUUCGAGCCUCACUGGGGCAG